UGGAGACCAAUUUGUAAGUCGCUCUGGAUAAGAGCAUCUGCUAAAUGACUUAAA
rfam:Salmo salar isolate Sally breed double haploid chromosome ssa25, whole genome shotgun sequence.